rnacentral:rRNA from 1 species
UUAAAAAGCUCGUAGUUGAAUUUCGGGACCAUCAUGUCGGUCGUGCCUCGGUACGUACUGGUAUUGUUGGUUUCUCCCUUCUGACGAACCAUGAUGUCAUUUAUUUGGUGUUGUGGGGAAUCAGGACUGUUACUUUGAAAAAAUUAGAGUGUUUAAAGCAGGCUCACGCUUGAAUACAUUAGCAUGGAAUAAUGAAAUAGGACGUUUGAUUCUAUUUUGUUGGUUUCUAGGAUCGACGUAAUGAUUAAUAGGGAUAGUUGGGGG